UCGAAUGAGAUGCUGUACCACGCGUUCUCUCACUUUGGCGAUGUGGAGCGCGCGGUGCACAUUGUCGACGA
rnacentral:pre_miRNA from 1 species